rnacentral:rRNA from 1 species
AUUGAACGCUGGCGGCAGGCCUAACACAUGCAAGUCGAACGAGUGGCGGACGGGUUAGUAAUGUCUGGGAAACUGCACGAUGGAGGGGGAUAACUACUGGAAACGGUAGCUAAUACCGCAUACCCUCGGAAGUGCCCAGAUGGGAUGAGCUAGUAGGUGGGGUAACGGCUAACCUAGGCGACGAUCCCUAGCUGGUCUGAGAGGAAGACCAGCCACACUGGAACUGAGACACGGUCCAUACUCCUACGGGAGGGAGCAGUGGGGAAUAGUGCACAAUGGGCGCAAGCCUGAUGCAGCCAUGCCGCGUGUAUGAAGAAGGCCUUCGGGUUGUAAAGUACUUUCAGCGAGGAGGCGUUACUCGUAGAAGAAGCACCGGCUAACUCCGUGCCAGCAGCCGCGGUAAUAC